rnacentral:rRNA from 1 species
UACGUAGGGGGCAAGCGUUGUCCGGAAUCAUUGGGCGUAAAGAGCGUGUAGGCGGCCCGGUAAGUCCGUUGUGAAAGUCCAGGGCUCAACCCUGGAAUGCCGAUGGAUACUGCCGGGCUAGAGUUCGGAAGAGGCGAGUGGAAUUCCUGGUGUAGCGGUGGAAUGCGCAGAUAUCAGGAGGAACACCGAUAGCGAAGGCAGCUCGCUGGGACGACACUGACGCUGAGACGCGAAAGCGUGGGGAGCGAACAGG